rnacentral:tRNA from 1 species
UGUGGCUCAGUGGUAAAGCACUUGCCUCCCACGUGUGAGGCACUGGGUUCAAUCCCCAGCA